rnacentral:rRNA from 1 species
CCUACGGGAGGCAGCAGUGAGGAAUAUUGGUCAAUGGUCGCAACUCUGAACCAGCCAAGCAGCGUGCAGGAUGACGGUCCAAUGUCUCGUAAACUUCUUUUAUCCGGGGACAAACUCAGGCACGCGUCCCCGAAUGAGUGUACCUCAAGAACAAGCAUCGGCUAACUCCGUGCCAGCAGCCGCGGUAAUACGGAGGCUGCGGGCGUUAUCCGGAUUUAUUGGGUUUAAAGGGUGCGCAGGCGGUCUGUUAAGCCAGUUGUGAAAUGUUGCGGCUCAACCGUAGAAUUGCAGUGGAAACUGGCAGGCUUGAGUGCAGCAGAGGUGGGCGGAAUUCGUGGUGUAGCGGUGAAAUGCUUAGAUAUCACGAAGAACUCCGAUUGCGAAGGCAGCCUACCGGAGCGUAACUGACGCUGAGGCUCGAAGGUGUGGGUAUCGAACAGGAUUAGAUACCCGGGUAGUC